UCUCAGGCUGUGACUCUGCAAAGGGAAGCCCUUUCUGUUGUCAGAAAGAAAAGAAAGCGCUUCCCUUUGCUGGGUUACGGUUUGAGA
ensembl:miRNA